rnacentral:misc_RNA from 1 species
GAUGAAGACGCAGCAAAAUGCGAUAAGUAAUGUGAAUUGCAGAAUUCAGUGAAUCAUCGAAUCUUUGAACGCACAUUGCGCCCGCCAGUAUUCUGGCGGGCAUGCCUGUUCGAGCGUCAUUUCAACCCUCAAGCUCAGCUUGGUGUUGGGACUCGCGGUAACCCGCGUUCCCCAAAUCGAUUGGCGGUCACGUCGAGCUUCCAUAGCGUAGUAAUCAUACACCUCGUUACUGGUAAUCGUCGCGGCCACGCCGUAAAACCCCAACUUCUGAAUGUUGACCUCGGAUCAGGUAGGAAUACCCGCUGAACUUAAGCAUAUCAAUAAGCGGAGGA